UACGUAGGGGGCAAGCGUUAUCCGGAAUUAUUGGGCGUAAAGAGUGCGUAGGUGGUUACUUAAGCGCGGGGUUUAAGGCAAUGGCUCAACCAUUGUUCGCCCUGCGAACUGGGUUACUUGAGUGCAGGAGAGGAAAGCGGAAUUCCUAGUGUAGCGGUGAAAUGCGUAGAUAUUAGGAGGAACACCAGUGGCGAAGGCGGCUUUCUGGACUGUUACUGACACUGAGGCACGAAAGUGUGGGGAGCAAACAG
rnacentral:rRNA from 1 species